GACCUCAAAUCAGGUAGGACUACCCGCUGAACUUAAGCAUAUCAAUAAGCGGAGGAAAAGAAACUAACAAGGAUUCCCCUAGUAACUGCGAGUGAAGCGGGAAAAGCUCAAAUUUAAAAUCUGGUAGUCUCUGGCUGCCCGAGUUGUAAUCUAGAGAAGCGUUAUCCGCGCUGGACCGUGUAUAAGUCUCCUGGAAUGGAGCGUCAUAGAGGGUGAGAAUCCCGUCUUCGACACGGACUCCCAGGGCUUUGUGAUGCGCUCUCAAAGAGUCGAGUUGUUUGGGAAUGCAGCUCUAAAUGGGUGGUAAAUUCCAUCUAAAGCUAAAUAUUGGCGAGAGACCGAUAGCGAACAAGUACCGUGAGGGAAAGAUGAAAAGAACUUUGGAAAGAGAGUGAAACAGUACGUGAAAUUGUUGAAAGGGAAGCGUUUGAAGUCAG
rnacentral:rRNA from 1 species